GCCAGGCAUGGUGGCGCGCGUCUGUAAUCCCAGCUACACAGGAGGCUGAGGCAGGAGAAUUGCUUGUACCCAGGAGGCAGAGGUUGCAGUGAGCCGAGAUUAUGCCACUGCACUCCAGCCUGGGUGACAGAGUGAGACUCUGUCUCAA
rnacentral:sRNA from 1 species